UUUCAAUAAUCCCAUUUAAAUUCAAUGCAAUACACAUUUUGUUAUAAAAAUUUUCUAACUUGUAUGUAUAUCGCUAUGAGUACCCUACUAAAUUAAGCUCCAUCGUAACUUACGAUCAUUAAUGUCGUUAUUACAUAGUUCGUAAUAUUAAUAACUCGAUAUAUCAGCUACGAAGAGCAUCAAUCCUAAUGUAGUAGGAUGAGCAAACCGUGAAGAGUUACUUCUGGUUCGUUUAUGGGCUGCAAUAACAUCUUUGGAAUUGGUUUCGAACACCGUUAGUAAUAAAUUUAUUCUAUCAAAUGGAUCUACAUGACUGAUGAACAAAGAGAUAUCUAGCUGAGCAUUUUUACUCCUUUCUCUUUUCUUCAAAUAAAUAUAUUUGUUUCUUCUAAAUUUCGAUAGUUUAACUUUCGACGGUGACGGAUUUAUCAUGAAGUACAAAAGUGAAGUAAAGAUUCUUACUAAAAAGUAAAAAAAAAAGGGAAUUUGGAAUGAGGCAAAUAGAAAAAAUAAUUAUCUUUUGGUAUUUAUUGAAUAUGUUUUUUUUGCUUAUAAACAUGUGAUCAUAGACUUCUUUCUUGUUAUUGUACCGGCGAAUUGUUCGAUAUCUCAGUUGAGGUUAUACAUGACAAGUGAGGUUAUGGUAUAAACGACACGCGCGCGCCAUGCGGCACAUAUGUAGUCGAAUGUUGGCAGCACUGUAAGCAGAAUAUAAUAAAUGUCUUUUAGAAGCGUACAAGCGCCACAGUGAUUUUUCCAUCGCUUUUAAGCGUUAGAUGUCUUUAUUUUUCUUUUUCUAAAAUGCAAUAAAGUAUAAUUCUCCUACGUUGCUACAUUUUUAAUUAUAAUCUCGAUGAAUCGCAGUCACAUGACAAUAUAUAUAUAGAACAUGUUUUCCAAAUAUUUCAAGAUAAAGUAGACCGAUCAAAUUUGUUUAUCUGUUACUCAUAUUAGAUUUCCUAUUUUGUGUUUGAUGCCUCACUGGCGUCAGUUCUAAUCGUUAAUUACCCGUCCGUUGAUUUAAACGACUCUUGCUAAUUUACUCUGCCUUGAGAAUUCGUUUGCCUUGUGCACAAGUCAACGUUUAUUUUUAAAAUGUCUAUAACGUCUUAUUACCGAUAAAACGAAUAUCUUCGUUUAAAAACUGUCGGAAAAUACGUACAAUGAUUCAUGAGUACAGUUGGCAAUCUAACCGUGUAAUAAUGGCACGUAGCAAACAUUCAAGUCAAUCUAUUUUAUAAUAUUUUCCAUAAUCUUUUCUUAGCCAUCAUUAGUAAUUCGAUUCAUGAAACUAUCAUAUUUCAUUUUACAUUUUAGAAUUUUAUGUAGGCGCCACGAAAGUGGAAGUUCGUUUCACUUAAACGUAGCAGUGAGUUCUGACCUAAUUUAUACUCUUGCAUAAUUGAUACGCGAUCGUGAUGUCAGAUGCCGGCAAGGGAACAUACAUAAAUCGAUAUUCAAAGGAGAAUCAAUGAAAAAAAAAGACAGCUAUAUACAGAAAGGCAAUGCAUGAUUUCCACCGAAGAUUGGUGAAAUCACAUAUAUCGAGAGACGACGAAACGACGUUUGAUCGCAGCCGCGCUUUAUUGAAAAUUUUUAACGAGAAAAUAGCUGCCGCGGUAUAAAUUACUGAGUUCUAUUAGCGUGUCUACUCGAGAGAGAGAGAGGGAGAGGGAGAGGGAGAGGGAGAGAGAGAGAGAGAGAGAGAGAGAGAGAGAGAGAGAGAGAGAGAGAGAGAGAGAGAGAGAGAGAGAGAGAGAGAGAGAGAGAGAGAGAGAUGAAAGUUCUGCAGCAUGUUAGAUGGAGAUUUGAUUCAUCGGAGCGAUAGAAAAGGAGAACAAGAGGAAGAGCGCAAAGGACUACUGCCUUUCCUCGGUGUCCUCUUUUUCUUCUCAUCCGUCAACCCCACUCUCUGGCCAUUUCUCAGUUCCUAUUUCUUUUUGCUCGUAAGGUAUUGAUUUACCUAGGUGGUGAACUUUAAACUCGCAUCACCACUCGUUCCCUCAUUCAUCUUGCGGCCUUUGAUGGUAAUGCAAGGAAAAUUGCGCUCGUCGCGACAAAUUAGGUAAUGAAUCUUCUCUAUGAGCUGCCAUUUUCUAUUUUUGCCACUGAAAGGACAAAAAUUAUCUUGUGAUCCGUGAAUGGGAUUAAAAUGUGCAAAACGGUAAAUUCGUAUGUCCUCGCGAAGCAUUUUACACGUGUGUCUGCAUUUGUACGUGUCUUACGUUGGAUUUGAAUUAUAGGUUAGGUCAGAAUUCGUAGCUCAGGAAUCUGUAAGGUAUAUCGGAUAGACAAUUCAAACGAUUAACAAUCAUAUAUAAUCGAUAACGUGCAAAUGUAUAUAUCUAUAGCUUUUCAAAUCGUAGAUUGCGUUAUCGGCUAAGAUAAUUAACGUAGAAGGCCGUGACGUUAAACCAAUGUCGCUAUUUGCUUGUUAAAGCGAGCUUCCGUGAUGUGAUACUCUACAACUGUUUAUUAUAAUGCGAAAUCUACGAUCUUUGAAACGAAUCAAUAGCAACGUGUUUUAUCAAUGUGUAGAUAAAACGAUCGAUUUGCAGAUACUUGAUUAUAUCUUUAAUCUUUUUAUUCGCUAAAAUAAUAACUAUUCGCCGAUAUACAAUCCAAUAUUCCUUCAUCAUAUCGUAUCGUAUUGUAUUUCUCUCAAUUAUAUUGUUUUCUUUUGAAUUAGCCAUGCACUGGUGCAACAAAUCAAUCAGAAAGUUCCCAUUGAGCGUAAAAAACCAUUUAGCUUGCACUUUAUAUUCUAUCAGCCGCCGAUCGCUUCACGCUCGAACCUCGCGUCAAGAAGAUCUCGCCAAGUAAUUGAAAAUGAUCCGGAUCAUCUGGAGGCGGAAUGAAUUAACGCGAGCUGCUAGUCGACUCGAUGGAAAAACGUGGAUAGUGGAUGGUGGAUGGUAAAAAGCAGUGGAGAAAAAGGGAAAGAACAAAAGGGAGGAUGAAAGGGAAGAAAAGAAAGAGCGGAGGAUAAAAGGAGUGAAAGGAACGGGAGUAAAAUCUUAGCGGCUGAUAAAGUUGAAAGGAUGCUCGAAGGUGAAUGCAAGGAAUUACAAGACCGUACGUUCUUGCAUAAAAGUCGUGUGUGCACUGUGCACGCACGAUCGCGAGUAUGACGCGCGUCGGCCGAGUAGCAAGUCAUUAAAACGUUCUCCUGGCGAAGAUCGUUUUAAUCGGUAAUCGGGGAACAGCCGGCGUGACGUCUCCGCUACAUCAGCUUUUAUUUAAUAACGUUACUCUCUUCAAUUACGCUGGCCUGUACUGAUCGUCUCGAUUUUACCAGUUUAUGUAAUUGCACCGUACGAUACGCGUACGAAGCAAAGAGCACGAAGACGUAAAGUACGUGAGCGCACGAUGGAUGAAUGAAAUUUCGAGGCAAUGAUUUUUGGCCGCGAUCAUGAACGUUAGUAUAUCGCUAAAGUGGUCGGUAAAAAUAGCCGAUAGGUGGCUCCCGGCGUACCACGAUUCGCGAGCUUCGUUCGAAUAUCACCAGACGCUAUAAUCGAUCGCAAUGGGAAACUCGUUUUUCGCGUUUCCCAGUGAAGAAGAAAAAACAGUGCAUACAUAAGCCGUUGAGAAGUCACACGGAUCAAUCUCGAAAGUUGGAAAGUACAGAGAAGCGAUAAAGUUACAAACACUGUCUUCCAGAUUUACUUUAGAAACUUACCGUUCUUUCGAAUUCUAUUUAUUUCUACUUUUAAUUAUUUCUUGCAAUAAGCAAACUUAUGGGAGCUGGAGAAAUCGAUAAAAAGCGAAGUUGGUCAGUUUGACCGACCGAGAAGCUCGUACACAGCGAGGUAAAUGGAAUAUUCGCAAAGAGUUUGAGUCGAUGGUGUUCCGUACGAAAUAUCUACAUAUUUUAAAGGAAAUUCUCUGCCGAAUCGAUGGUGAUAAUUGCAUAGCUGCAUUUUACUCGGGACACCGAAGCGCACCGAGUCGAAACGACGAUUUCGUAAUUCACGGACGCAGUCCGUGCGUAACAGAUGGCCUUUAUCACGGUGGAUAAAAAGAGACACAUGAUGCGAUCUAUCGAUAAAGAUGUAGGUGUCAUCUGGCGACGAAUUUAGUUGGGUUACCGAUCGAAAGUAUAUAGAGUAUACCAUCGGACUGGGAACGCGGAUACGCGUGAAGUGCGCCACCAUCAAUUGCGAUCUACUUAUUGCGAACGCGUCGUGUGUAAAGUAUAGGUGAAAUCGCCAGCUGAAUAUUCCAGCUAUGCGACCUUGCCAAUGCGUUUAAGCGACGCGGAUGGUAAUCGCGCGAGCGCGACCGAUGUUUUCGGUAUGGCGAAAAACGACCACGAAAACAUCGAGGGAGAAUUAGAUUGGGGCAAAGGCGAUCCACUGAUUCGAGCUUCGAUCGCGUUGUGAAUCGACCUUCUAUUGAUCAAAUUUGAAAACACCUUUAGAUACAAACGCGUGACACGACUGUCCACUAAAACUGUCUUUCUUUCCCUCUUGUUUGUCGCUAUUUCCACCAGCGAUUGAGAUUUCGACGUCGACGUGUUUCGAUGGUAAAAAAGUGCCAGAAGAGAAAAGUAAGAGAGGAGGAGGAGGAGGAGGAGAGGAAGGAUGGGAACUCGAUGGACAAAGUUUGUUUGGUUUAUUUGCAGAUCGGUGAACGAGUCACGAAGCAAUAAUCGUUGUUUUCUUUAUGCAAUCGGAUAGCCUCGAUAAUUUCGUAUAUUUCGAUACGCGGCCACGGCACGAGGAGAGCCUCGAUUAUUUCGCUUCAUUUAUUUUCGGUCUGCCGGCAAACAUCGUCCGUUCCACUGGCAGGCAUUCUCGACGUAAUUAAAAACAGGAAACUUUUCUAGAGCACGAUGAAACACGUCGACUGUCGCGGCUAUUGGCAGCACCGGCGAAAAUAAUCGGAAGCGCCUCUCCGUUCUAGCUUUGUCGUUCGUCCAACUUCAAUCACGAUUAAUUGGUUUUGCUUUAUCGAUGCGUCGCCCGUACAUAAUAAUUAUCCUCGGGGAAUGGACCACGUUGUCGUGGGCCUAAGUAACUUUGCUUUCUACCAGACUACGUCGCGUGGCCUCGAUGAAUUUAUCGAAUUAUGCGAUUCUCCCUCUCCUUCUGCCGCUUUAUUUCUCUUGUCCUCUCUGUCUUACACACGCAAACGCGUCGGUGUAGCACGCGAAAGGCACACGCUUGUAACGUAAUACAAAGGAGAAGAGGAGGACGUCCGGUUGUUGCCAAAAGGUAGCACGCGCCAGGAGCGGAAGAUGAAGGAAGGAAAUCAUCGUCGAGAUCGUCGAACGUCAUUCGCGAAUGACGACACCCGUGCCUCUUCUCUCGGACAUUCGGAGAAUUGACACUGUGCCCGGAAUCGGCGGCUUGCGACUCGUCCAAAACAUAAUUAGGAUUUCGCUAGCGCGCCACGACGAUGUCUGUGGCACGCGGUGCGCCGUGUCGCAUGUCGGAAGCGCGAUCUUAUUAUCCGUUAUUAGCGGAGAUCGAGUUUGCAUCACGAGAAUCAGGGUUGCUGGCUACGUGUUGCGAUGAAACGCAACGGAAACGUCCAGCGCCGUCACGUUUUUCAGCGGCCGCCUUUUCAUUUUCGUUGUCAUCGUUGACGUAAGAACAGAACUUUUAUUCUGACGUAAUGCGACCGUUACGUUUAUUCGCGCGGAUAAUAGGAUGCACGACGAAUGACGAACGGGAAGACGUUAGUGAAAACGACGAAGAAGAUCAGGAGUAUGAAAGAGGCUUGUAGCGGAAAACGAGCGAAGCAGAAAAUAGAAAAAUGUAUAUGCUCGAUGUCAGAAAGCUGCAAAGUUAGAAUUAUGCGUGGUCGGCGACGAAUCACGUACACGAUCAUCUACCGAUCUAGCGUGUACGUAUUUAUAAUUUCAUUCAUAACACGAGGUGCACUUUCACGUACUCUGCCGACCGUAGUCGUAACGUUCGUGGCCUUGUAGCAUGAAUGUUGCUUUUACGACUACAUUCGCCCACCGCAUGAUUCUUCGACGCAACGAAAGAACGUCGAAACGAGUAUCGCAGCGAUCUGGCUACGCUUUAUUCCUCCUUACCUCGUGAAAAAUUACAGUCAGACUACGACGCUCCAAUUAUCAAUUGACGAAACCAAAAACGAUCGUUGAAAUACGAAUGCCGAACUACGUGGAUUCGACGCCGAAUAUACACUGCGUGUCACAUGGACAAAGAAAACCCGAGGAAAGGAGAACGAAGCGGUGCCGGAAUCGUGUCACGUACAUCUGGUUCUUUCUCCGCUACCACCUCAACCGUGGCUUGCUCGAAGUUCACCAGCUACAAGAACAAAGACCAUCGUAGGUCACGGAACGAAGAAGAUAGAAUAGAAGGCUGAAGGAAUACCGGAAACGAUCCACCUGCUCGAUUCUCGCGUUCCUCCCUUUAACGAUUGUCGCUGAACGAUCGAUGGUGUUACGAACCGGAAGCGAAUGUUUUCAAACAAGGGGAAACGCGAAUUUACCUAACUCGAAUGAACGCGGGCUAAACGAUCUCGGAUUACGAGGGUUUGUUUAAGGGCCAUUUAAUAUUGCUCGCUUGAACGCACCAUCUGGAGAAACUUUCACGAGCACGUUCAAGCUAUUAUAAUUCCGUUGGCCAAUUCACGGACGUGACACAGAAAAUACAGGUCGAAACAGUUGUACAAAAUAACGGAUGUGACUGGAAGCACGGUAACGAUAUUUUAUCUUUUAAUACCAAGUGGUUAGCGGUGUAUUUGACGUGGCAAAAACUAUGUCUGCGGGAGCACGAACACUUCGUUUCGCGACGAGGUACACGGUAAAGGGGUGCAGCAUGGCGAAGUACAAACGUUCUCGGAUCGGAUAUCGAGGAGAAGCGGCAAAGUGUCGCGAACAGCGACGAUCGAGAGGAAGGUGGGCGCGAAAAACAGAAGGCAAUCUCGUGGCGUCGUUUUAAUAUUCUCGAAGAGCGAAGAAGAAAGGGGAAAUGGACGAAGAGGUGGCGUGAAAUCAGAGGACGGAUGAUCGCAGGUCUGAAAUCGAGGACGAAGCAAGAGGCAAACGAGUAAUUCGUGGUUUAGUUAGGGUUUCGGGGAUGGGGGUGGAAGGGGAGCUCGAACGCUUCGAAUAAAGGAAGAAGACCGGAGCAAGAAGGACAAAAAGAGAUGGCCGGAAAAGAGAGGGUAGAGCGUUCGUGUGCAUACUAGGAAGGAAGGAAGAGAGAGGGUGGUACUGGUAGAGAAGAGAAGGUAAAGGAGAGCGUUCGAGGCAGCCGGUCGCCGGCAUUCCGGAUCAAUACUCCCACCGCCGUCGCUUCUCUGGGGGUUCGUUGGGUGGCCCGGCUCUUUCUCCUUCUCUCCCUUUACCUUUCACCCUCGACCCUCUUCUUCCAUGUCGCCCUCUCAUCCUCCCGUUUUCCGCUUCUACUUCCAGCGAACGCGUACAGGUAUCGGUGAAUCUGCUUCGAUUCUCUAUCUUCCCCCCCCCCCCCCUCUCUUUACCAUCUUUCCGGCAUCUUUAUAUCUGAUUUUUCUCGCGUCACCUGCUGAUCAAUUUAUACCGUACAUCCUAUACACGUUGCAUCGUGUUUUCCUUCAAUUUCCUCCUCCACUGAUUUCCUGACAAAUAUUGGAAACGAUACAGGGUGGUACUACAGAAGGAACACGAGUGGAACAGGAAUCUGAGAAAACUGUGAAAAGCAAGGAAACCGACUCUCGUGUAAAUCUGAAAUUUUGCACGUUGCUCUUGCAUCAACUUGUACUUGCACCUCGGUCCAGAGACAGAGAUGAUUCACGCGUGUUCGCGGUAGAUAAUGUCUCACAAUCGGCUCUGUGUCUGCUAAUCGUUGGGAAUUAACAGGGAAUUCGAUCCUUCGACGGCACUGUCACGAGGAGAAUCGCUGCGCAAAGUGACUCCGGUACGCGAGAAUGCGCCGACCGGACUCCACGCGUGCCGUUACGUAAUUCUCAUUAGCAGAACGAGACGACGUAACGCGAGACCGUAUCUGAGAUCGCGCAGGAAGGUCGACGUUCCGAUGAUGUCACCGAGGUGCCCUGCGCUCGGUACGCCACACGCUCCACGAUCGAUUCCGCGAUUCAACCCUCCCGCCAGGAUCUGGCUUUGCCGGCACUUUAUUGCUUCGGCACAGUUAACUCCUGUCUCGUUUACGCGAUACGUGACCUCCCGUAUCGCGGGCCGAUGCCAAGCAAACAAUUUUUCCAGCCGGUUUUGCGAGUCUCUCUGUUUGGUGAACCGUUCCAGGGCCAAUAGGAUUUAGGUGGAUUUUAUCGGCGAUCGCCGAUCUCGCUGGAUAUCGAGUCUCUAACUACCCUCAGCAACUUUUUCCCCCCCGGGAAAUUGUCUUUAUCGCUUGUAAAUUCUAUUCGAUCUCGGUAUAUGGAGGUCAGAGAUCGCCAGCCUGUUUCCAAUCUAGCCAGGCUCCAAUAAUAUCGGAAGAAGAGAGAGCGCGAUUAGUCGCAAAUAAGCUUCGAUAUAUCCUGUUACGUUCAUCCGUGUUAUCGUCAAGCUCAUUAACUUCAGGCUUUUCAUUCGGUUCGUAAACCACGUGAGAGAUAAACUGUGAAACAAAGUGGUUUAUAACGAUGGAAAAGUCGAGACUGAGAGAAAGAACGAGAGUAAUUCUGCAUAAAGGAUGAAGUUUAAAAAGCGGUCGGUUCAACUGGGAGAAGUUGAAGCAAGCGGGCAACGUGGUUGAAAGAGGGUGACGCGUCAAAACAUGAAACGCUUUCGCGAGACACCGUCUGUGGUUCCCUUUUUCUCGAAGAUGGCCGCGACGCGAGCAGAAUCCCUGACCUUCUUUAAUUAGGAUAGCAACGACAAAGUUAACGGGCGAGAAUUAAUGAGGCCUGCGACCACGACGAACUCCGAGAAACGGGAUCGAGGAACGUGGCGCGCAACGAGACCGUGUCUCGGAUCACUCUAUUAAAAUUCUCUUCUAUCAACGCUUCUCCUUCUGCUGCUCCCUCCUUCGCUCUCUUUUUCCUCGAAGAAAAUUAACCAUCGUCUAUGACAUCGUAAAACGUGGCACGUAAUUUGUCGGUCGUAACGAUCGAAAUGUCUCGUUGUCAUUCGAUAUCGAAUACUAUCUAUGUACUUUCGAUAAUUGUUCGUCAUUACGAUGAUAUCAUAACGAAGGAACGUCGUCACCUCGUUUCCCGUUAACGAGCGUCGUUUUUUCGCUCGUUCGACCGUCAUACAUAUUAAUUUCGUUGGUGGACUAAAAGUUCCCAGAAUAUCGUUUAAUUAGCACGAAGAGCUUCGCACUUAUUUUUAACAAAAUUGAUAAAAGUAAUCGUUCCGCAUCGAGUUUCAUUGAAAUUCCUGGAUGAUUAAGGGAGGCGACUUUGCUCGAGCGACCCUUGUGCACCGACCCGUUUACCCGGGACCGAGGCACUCGAAAUUACCAUGUUGAUUCAACGAUGGAACGUGCCUGGCAUAAGACACUUUCGGAUGAUACACCGAUUUACAGCGAAUAAAACUUUAUCGGUCAGUGUUGCGCGGCGAGAGAAAUUGCGAGAGAGUCAGGGCAGGAUCGAUCGAUGUUUUCUCCACGCAACUUAUUUUUACUCGAAAGAGAGUUUACUUUUUCACACUUUGCUUUCGUCCACCUUCUGCUCUCGUAUUCCUCUCGUAGAGGUAAUAAUAUCGACGAGAAUCAAGGUGAUCGUUUUAAGCGGCUCGAUCCGUGUAUUUCUGUAUCCCUCGUCGGUGUUAUUCUUCGAAGAACGGUCAACCGCGAUAAUCGUAUUUGCUGCAUAAUCGUAAAGGUGUAACGUCCUCUGUCCGGAUCGUGGCGAGUCGAAGGGAACUUCCCCACUGAAAGGACGUCCCUUUUGCUUUCGUAACGCGCGCGUCACUGUUAAGACGUUGCUCUCUUUCUCGUUGGUUACGUAAUCCUUCGAACACGCCAAAACAUUACGAAACGGACACAGAAUGAAAGUCCUCGAAAUCUCUGUUUGCUUUCUUAUUCGAAAAUAUUUUCGACUAUCCUGAAAGUAAAUCUUACUUUCGCAGUGAAAUUUGGUUUCGUAGUGUGAGAUACAAGUUACGGUUUAACAGAACCUGCCUAUUUGCUAACGUCUCGCGUUUUACUCUGUCGCGAACAUGACAAUUUGCGAUUCUAUGCUGGAACCAUUGACCUCUCACCACAUACAGUGCAGCAUUCGUAGAGACUUCCCGAGAAAGGUACGAAGAGACUAAUUAGCGUGCGCCGCAACAUUAGGGACUUUAGGACUCGACACUCUGAACGAUUUAACUGAUUUACUAUGGUACGCGACACCGAUACAGCUAAUUAAAAUUUCCUCGUCUGGUAUCCUUCGAAACAAACAUUCGCGUUCGUGUAGAUGCCGAGUAGAUAGCAGUUUAACUACGGUAAUUGAAUUAGCGAUGGUAUCGCGUAAUCAGCGAGUAUCAGCCUUUUAUCGUGCUAGCCACAGCGAAAUAGCUUAUUUCCUGUUGGAGAUUUUCCGAUUUCUCGCUCAGAUAAUAAAACAACCAAUGUCUUGUUAUCGACACGUUAUCGCUUCUUACGAUUGGCAACAGUCCCGUUUAUCGAGGCAUCCAUAAGAUUUUUUAUUAUUUUCGGCCCUCUGGAUAUUCGAUCUAAAAAACAGUUUGUAACUUUGAAAUGUUUGCGUGUGGUCUCUUUGUGCCGAUGUCCAUUAAGAGAAAGGGUAUUAAAGUCAACGUUAAAAUCUGAAGCUCGAGUAUCUGAUCGAUUUGCUAAUUGGAUCAUUAAACGUAGUAAACUGUCGCGUUAAACUCGGUCGAAGCUACGUUUUCUCCAUUGCAUUUUUACCAUCGCGAUGGAGAAACGGACCCUUGACCGCGUGGUUGGUCCCAUCGACUCUUCUUUCCGAGUAGAGCGUGUUACGCGGCCGAUAGAUUUGGAUGGAAUCCAAUCUUUGAUUAAGGAAAAGAGUCUCGAUCCUCUGUGUGAAUAGUUGUGUUUCACAGAUGGACUGCUUCCAACGCCAAGGAUGCUACAAUGGAUCGUGAUUACGGAAGAAGCGGACCAUCGGAUGCACAAUUCGAUUUCACGUAGGAAAUUGCACGUGUGAGAUGCAUGCUCGCGAUACACAGACGUUCCACUUUUAAUUCGAUCGAUAAUAAAAAAAGAAAAACGAGGAAAAUAUGUAUCGAGUUAGGCCCUCGAGUUGGAUUCGCUUUAAUCAGCGUCGAUCGUCGACAAACAUCUUGAAAACGGUCGGCGUGUUUGAUGUCUGCAACGAUCGACAUCUCGGCACACAAUUGUAUUCCCCUGUAAUGUAUUCAAUGAACUCGUUUCGUGUUCCAAUUACUCACCACCGUCGUACCGCCGUAUCUACAUUUGCACAGCUUUGGUCAACCUCUUGUGUUCGCUCUAAUACCAAUUAAAUCCAUUGCCAAUUUUUUCGAUGUAAAACUCGGUUUAAAGGUAUCCAGGCUACGGAAAAAAGUGCGUAGAACUUUCUGAAACCUUCAGCAGUUCGAGAAUGCAAGUUUCGUGCAAGGACACCACGAAGAAACACCUCGCCGCCAGGCAUCAAGCGCCCCCUAACCAGAGGAAGGAAUUUACGAGCUGGAGGAAUGUAAAUCGAUCUUUCCGAUGAUCUUUCCGUCUACUAUUCCGCUUACUUUAAUUCGGUUUCAGAUGCGGAUCGGUUCAUCACUGCGGAUGAAGCCGUGUUUAAUCCUCGAAUAGACAAAGGCUCGAUAAAUCGUUCGAGGCUCGCGGUGAUUUAUUUCUCAAUUUUGCGAUCGGUGGCGCGCGUUCAGCGGUAAUUUACGACGACUGGAAAAAGGAAAGCGGCGUUUACCGGGCGAUUCGUACUCGAGGAUACUUAACGAGACUCGAUGAUUUUCCGCCGUGAAUCACGCGUGUCGUUAAUCGCGCCAAGGAACAUAAUUAGCAACCCACAUCCCGCCUUUGUUCGACGCGAUCGGCGAACAGAUGCUUAAUUGCUUUUCUCUUCUUUGCGCUCUUAAACUACGCCGUGCUCUUUCGAGGAACGUUAUUUUUUAAUCGUGCGAGGCGUACUGAGAGAAACAAAAGCGACGAAAUGUAAAACUCGAGGCAAUCGUGAUGCCGAGACAGCGAUAAAUUCGCCUACCAAACAAAACACUUAAUUCCCGAUUGCAAAUGGGCAAGGCUCGUUACGUAAUUGGCAAGAUGACGAUAAUUUCAUAAAAGAUAAACAAAAUCAACGGUUGAACGCUUGGGAGCAAACAGGGAAUUCAACUUGUUGAUGAUACAGGCCACCGUGUUCCGAGGCAAACACUCGUGAAAGAGGCGGAGGGCAAAAAUUGAAGGUAAAGUGUACGCGGUUUCCAACCGUUCCAACCACUUGGGGAUUAAAUCGAGUUCUACGUCGUGGAUAUUCUCUCACCCUGUCCUCCGACACGAUAUUUUUGCUGACGAUUGCGUACAAACACGAACACGGAUUCUGCCGAUGCUGCGGCGCGCUGCUGCUCUUGCAAUUGCAGCCGCAUACUCCAACUCGACCAACAACUGUUGGAUAUCGGCUUGACCUCGACAAUGACUCACGGGUCAUGGUACUGACCGUUUCUCUUUCACCUAGGACUUUCUUUCCGCUUCUUCUGCAUAACGAACGAUACUUAUGCACGUCUCAGCCCCACGAAACUCUUCUAUCGAUCACGGCUACUCGACGUUGCAAUCCAAGUAUCCGUUGCAUGUACGUACACGCUUCUAUACGUAUCCUAGGCCUUAGAGUCAUUGACUCCGUGAUAAUUUUCAAUGACCUUUAUCUAUUUUUAUGGCGCGGAGUUCUAUGGUUUACGGACGAUGAGUGUUCCGACGAACGAAACGUCUGAAAACUGAAAUGCGUAUAUUCGAUUGCUUUCAAGUAUAAACAUCGUCGCAAUACACAUCCGCUAUAACCAUAACUUAACGCGCAUCCUAUUUCUAUUCCAUCCAAUGGUAGGAGUUCUUAGGAACGCGUUGGAUUCGAGAAGCUUUUAGGCUUGAUCAAUCGCUGCGAGUAGACGAAUAAAAAUACCGAAAGAGUAAACUUGAGCGCCAUGGCCACGAGCAACGAUUGUUCGUGAAUCAUUGUACGUGUUUGCUUUUCUAACUAUAAAUACGGAUACAUGGAUCGUGACCUCGUUCUUUCCUUAAUUCACACACUCGACCGACGCUCGGUCUCUCGCGACGCGUCAAUGGUAUCAAUCAACCGAAGAUUCUGCAUUUCCGCAGAAAGCAUUUGUGUACGAAAGGUUAUAAAUAACAACGAUAAACAGUGAUUAACGUCACGCGAAAUGCUCUUGAAAUGAACAAAGUGAGACGAUCUAUAGAAGAAAGGUACUAAGCCCACGACUUCUCGUUCUCUCAAUAUCAAGUCAGCUCAUCUCGAAGAAUUCCCUUUAACCGAACAGUUCAUCAAAAAGAAUUUUUGUGUAGAUACAAUCUGUGUUGUAAAGACGUUUUGAAAUUUCAUUAGCAUCACCACACAACCAUCACGAUUAUAUCGAUAAAGUUCGAAACCAGUCUGGAAAUGUAUACACGAGUUGUAAGACGUUUACCGCGAAUAUAUAUUCGAUCGAAAAUUAGAAUGAAUAGCCAUCUAUACGAUAAACGUUAAAGACGGCACCACUGAAUAUCGAGGUGAGAUAUAUACUCGCAGCAAAUAUCUCGUACAUCAUCUACGUGCAUUUUCAGAUUCCUUCGAAACCUUACGAGUACAAUCAAGAUCAUACAAUGUUUAAUAUAACACAUACAGUACGUAUAGUACAUACGCAAGAGGUUCGUGUAAGUUUGCAAAUAUUUUCGUGAGUCACAGUAUAUGUUCGAGGCAAUUAUUCAUAGUAUACGCCAACGUUUUACUGAAAACGAGCGAGAUAUUUUCAAUAAAUGUCUUGCAACUUCCGUAAACCUUUCUAAAUUCGUUUCCAACUUUACCGCUAUAAUCGCGAUAGACGCGUUUCGUUACGUUACCAAUGGAAUUACAAAACGUUUCCUAUAAUACCGCAUUACGGUAUCUACAAGCGUUCCAAUACCGAGCUACUUCUAUAUUACGUCUGUUUUCAAUAAAUUUCCAUUUAAAAAAGAACAAAUAAAUAUGCGUAUAUAUGUUGCACUGGAAUCGCUAAAUCGAAAUAGCCGACACACAACAAACUCUGUCCCCUCGCAGGUACAAAAACGUGCAUAGAAUGUCGAACGAAUCGAGACCAAUUAGCGGAAUGGCAAAGAAUGUUAAGCGCCGCGACACCAUUCGUCGCCUCUCUAUUCAUGUGUUCUCCCCGUCCAUGCACUCGCCGCUUUUCGCGCGAUAUUCCCUCUCCCACGUCACCGUUAUUAGCGGCAGCCUGUUUUCUCCCUUUUAACGACUCCCGUCAAUGUCAAUGCCAGAAACACAUACCACGAGAUUCUCUCUUCGAGUUUGUUUACGAUCAGAACGAGAGAGAGAGAGAGAGAGAGAAGUGGACAAAGGAUGAAGAAGAUGGAUACAUAUGCCACUCUAUUAACAUAAUUAUUGCGAAAACCUUGGAGAUACAUACUAUCCUGGCGUAAACUCGACGUAAAUCGAGGCGGUUUGCCGACAGCGAGCGUGUCGUGGGCAUCGAUCGAUGAAUGGUGUUCUCGCGACCAUAGUGGCGCUCGCCUCGAAAACCGUACAUUUUUCACCGGAAACGGGUUAACUCUUUGACGGUGCAAUAAGGCGAUGAAUAAUUCAGAGCGAACGAUUUAGAAGAUAAUUUGUCUUAUUAUUCUUAAGGUCUGCUGCGUUUCUCAUAUCAGAUUUGUUCGUCUUGUUAGAAAUACGAAUUUACUUUAGCGUUGAAGCACGUAAAUUUUAAAUAUUUGUUUCAUUUAACUCGUCGACGGUGUAAUUAAACUACGAAGAAUGCGAAACAAUUUAGAAAAUAAUUAUGUAACUCGCUAUUCUUAACUCCGCCGCGGUCCUCGAGUUGUUUAUGUCUUAAUCUUACUUUAGCUUUAACCUUAGUUUCGAUUUUGCUCGAAACGAGAAAUCACGCGUAUAAAUAACAGGCCUUUCGUGUUUUGCUCAAAUUUAGGACAAUUUUCUAGCGAUGAACGUACGGUAGGCUUGAAAAUGGCUCAAAAGAACCAGCGGCGCGUUAAAACGCGCUUUCCACCGAAAUGGAAAUACCGAUCGUAUAAUAAGCAGAUUGAGCGGAUGGCGAGCUUGCUCCAGAUACUCUGCAACGAGGUUUAAAGGAAUUCGGCAUUUAUGAAGAGCAACGCGCGAGGAAGCGGACUCAUCGACGUACGAAACGAGUUCGAAAGGAUUGUAUGAAAUUCAUGGGCGUGUUUUAUGUUCCGAGAUUAAGAGGUGGGGGACAAACGGACGAGAAUUCGAGAACGUUUCGCGUUCGUGGUACAACAGCCUCUUAAUCGAAUAACAGGUGUUCGAAAUGGCCUCACCAGGACUGGUUUACGUCGAUACUUCGUAUCGUCCGAAUCUCGAUGCACGCCAACUCUUGCGCAUCUGUUUGACACGUAAAAAAAAAGAGGGGUUAUAAAUAUAGUGGCUUCGCGUUCAUUCCCGCUCCUAGGAGAAGUUAAAAGUUGCUCGGCGUAUAAUUCACGCGGUAGCUUUAAGUGGUGAUAUUUUAGAAACAGUACCCGGUAUUUAUUACGUUGCCAUUUGGAAUUUUUCGCCUGAGAUAUGUCUAUAAAUACGUAGGCAUUUAUUUUCGAGUUACCAUAUGAUGAUUACAGGGAGAGGAUGUAAUAAUUACAACUUUGCUGACUUCCUGAUUUUUACGUUACUUAGUGGUGAAAAGAGGGCACUUUAAUAUACCGUGGCUAAAAAGACAUAAUUAAGAGGCGCAACCUACCCGGUCCGAAGAUGUGAGCUGUUUAGCGAUGGAUAUGAAGUUAUACGAGAGGAAUUAACGGCAUACGACGAAAUUGGUUCACGGCCACCGAGAACGUGCAAAGUUUAAGGAAGAUCGUUUGAAAUGGACAAACGACUCUAUAUAUAUAUGUAUAUAUAGAUGGCGUAAGGAAGUGGUAAGGAGAACGAACAGCUUGUUUUCUACUCGUCGAUAAAUCUGCGGCUUCUUAUCUGUCAGCAGAAGAUUACAGCGAUCGUCCGGCGAUGUUGUAACAGCUAACAGCCAAUGAUAUAUUGGACGAACGAACAUUGCUAGACAUUUCUUCAAUGACGAGUGUACCAUGUGAUCUAAACAUACGACGACGCGUUCCUCGGACGUCAUCACUUCGACCCGUGAUCCUCGAACACAUUGGUCGCACAGUGUUGUCAAAUUCAACCUCGAAGAACUUACGCGUUAGUAAAUAUUAUUUACGAGCGUAAGUAGUACGUUCGGUUUAAUAAGACAGAGAGAGCUGCUGCACGAGCCGAGCUAUCAUUGUAAAUAAGUUAUACAUAAAUCAAUGAACGAAUCCACUCUCGUCCCGUUGCUUUGUCUCGAAUGGAAUCAAAGGACUCGUAAAGCUGUUUCCUGAUACUCAAAGAAUAUUUAGACACGGCUGACUCGUAAUUAUGAAUCGUAAUAAUGCUGGAUUAAAUAAACAUUUGUUGUACAGAGCCUAGAGAAGUUUUUCUAAAGGUCGUGUACUUUGAUCGAAGGAUGUAGAAGGUUUCAACGAGAUCUUUUAAUCAAUCGAGGCUGAUUUAAUUUAGUCGAGAGUUUCGAGAUUGGAAACACGGUAAAAGUUUCCCUGUCGUUUGUACCUUAACGAUUAAAACUUCAAAAUACUUGGGCUGCUGAGCAACGCAAACUCGUAGGCUGACACACCGGCCGCACACCUACGUAUUUCUAAAUAAGUCUUAUUCGUAGGUUGGCUGCACCGUGGAAGCGAAACUUAUAUCUUCCUCGAUCUAUCCGUCCGCCAAACCAUUCUCGCUCGUAUUAUUAUCUAAACGCGAAUCUUCACCGCCAGCGAAGAAAACAACUAUCGUAGCGUUGCGAACCGUAAGCAUUGUAUAUGAACUGUGUACUAUUUUCGGAAGACUACAUCUACCUACGAAUGAAAAAUAAUCAGUCAUGGUAGCCGCCCAUCGUACUUUUCAUCAUUGAGGAGCAUCUACGGGUAAGCACUCGGCGACACCCCGCAGGAUGCUGCAGCUGAAAAUCCUCUCAAGCACUGCAAUCGCCGGCAGGAGUUCCCCCCGAGUAUGUAACCGGUCCCAAACACAUUUGCCCGCUUUGGUCUUACGCCACAGACUAUACUCUAUGCAGCACAUAAAUCCCGCAUGAAACCGGGCUUACCAUGGCUACGAUCCUAGUGCCAAGGUAUUACGAUUCACCACGUACUACUAGACCGUGCCUACGGUGACACGUAUAUCUUUGAAUUAAUAAACAUCAUUAGUUUGUUUACAAGAUGUAUCAAAGUUAUUGAUGCAGUUAUUGAAUGAAUGGAUAUUGGUUAGGUUCACGUCGAUUCAUCGCAACUAUAUUACAUAUAUCUCGAUUCUUGUUUAACCGAAAAUUACUCUUCCGUGUAACAUGUGGCACCGCGUGUGUCGAUACGUAAACGCACGUAUACACACGAUACUCGAGUGAAAAACACGUGCAUAUAGGUUAUGUACGCGGUACGCGAGAAAGAGACGAUGAGAGAAACCGAGCGUAGAAGUAAAGAGACAGGAACAAGUGUAAAGAGAAGGAGAGAAGCAAAGAAGACAGUAAGCUAGUGAACGAGCAACAGAGAAAGAGAGACUAUAAGGACUACUGCCGUUUUAUUGGCAGAGGUGAACGACACUGCCUACUGCAAGGUGGAUGCCUGUAUUUCGCAUAACCGCUCGUCGUUGGAACGUGCUAUGAGUUUAUGGGUCACUACGUACUGUUUUCAAGCACCUUCUUACGAAAAUAGUAUGAAUUCGUUGAAUCGAAAAUGUGUUGACAUCGGAAAGUCGUCAAUGUUUGCCUUUAUUAUGCUUUGUUCAUUUGUGUCUUGUAGUUAAAAAAAAACAUUAUUUCUGGAUAAUACGAUUUCAUUAUUACAUCAUGUAAUAUAGCUAUUUCUUGUAAAAAUAAGAAUCGAUAAAAUAAGUGUUCUCGCGUUACAAACAUGCUCAAGAUGAUAACAAUUACCAAAUAACUGAUUUACAUUAAAACACGCACACGUUGUAUACACCUCUUAAUUUCAAUGCAUACACAUACCCCUAUGAGAUCACCACAUAAACGUGCAGCGACCUUUUUAAAAAUUAAGAAUUCAUUUCACGUACAACUUCUAACUGCAAAAGAUUGUACAGGUUAUGUAAGAGCAAUUCGAAGAACGAACAACAGAGGGGAACGGCCUGAUCAACAAGAGUGGGUUCUGAAUUUAAGAAUAAUCUGAUUUCGUUAACAUUUGUUUAACGACUUACCAAUCAACAAGAUAAAACAUCAGAGCAAGCAAUAACAAUAUAUGACGUACAGUAACACGUACAUAAUGUGACAGAGAUUCAUAAAAACAGUGAAAAUCGGUCGAGUAACGUGAACUGACCUCUGCUUUGCCGCUCCUCAUCGAUUUUCUGAACAUACGUCAAUACGAAGUACGCCAGACACGUAUUCAUGGAAUUAAAUACUACCUUCUUUUUCAAUAGUCGAUAAAUAGAAAUUUCUGUCAGUUUGUAUAGCAGCCAUGCUAAAUAUGUAAAGAAUGAGAAAUAAGAUAUUUUCGGUACAAACGUGCUUAUCUCUAAAUAUUUUGAGGUUAGCUUCGGUAAUUUUACGUUAUCUUUAUAUCGAGCAAUCUAAUGUAUAAUAUGCGAAAGCAAUGUAAACUGCGCAUUACUUAAUGCUUUAUCUGACAUUAAAUAUUAAAUAUUAAUAUUGUAUUGUCUUAUGUUCGAUGUAUUUCUACAAAAUUUGUAUCAACUAUGAAGAAUUCAUUUGAUACACUCAUUUAAUUAUUUGAUCAUACAAUUAGUGAAGGAUGUGAGAAUUAUAUAAAAAAGAAUUAAAAAAAAGAUUAAAAUGAAAUGUAUCUCAGAAAUGUAUAUGUUGAAAUCAUUAAUGCAUCACCUGGUAACUUUGUUUACCACACCAGGGUAUAAUUCCAUUUCAUCUGUAUAUUAUGAUUGCUCAAUAAAAUUACAAAUAUAUUUCCAAUUGUAUAA